rnacentral:rRNA from 1 species
AGUGAACGCUGGCGGUAGGCCUAACACAUGCAAGUCGAACGGCAGCACAGUAAGAGCUUGCUCUUACGGGUGGCGAGUGGCGGACGGGUGAGGAAUACAUCGGAAUCUACUUUUUCGUGGGGGAUAGCGUAGGGAAACUUACGCUAAUACCGCAUACGACCUACGGGUGAAAGCAGGGGAUCUUCGGACCUUGCGCGAUUGAAUGAGCCGAUGUCGGAUUAGCUAGUUGGCGGGGUAAAGGCCCACCAAGGCGACGAUCCGUAGCUGGUCUGAGAGGAUGAUCAGCCACACUGGAACUGAGACACGGUCCAGACUCCUACGGGAGGCAGCAGUGGGGAAUAUUGGACAAUGGGCGCAAGCCUGAUCCAGCCAUACCGCGUGGGUGAAGAAGGCCUUCGGGUUGUAACGCCCUUUUGUUGGGAAAGAAAAGCAGCAGGUUAAUACCCCGCUGUUCUGACGGUACCCAAAGAAUAAGCACCGGCUAACUUCGUG